rnacentral:rRNA from 1 species
UACGAAGGGGGCUAGCGUUGCUCGGAAUCACUGGGCGUAAAGCGCACGUAGGCGGACUCUUAAGUCAGAGGUGAAAUCCUGGAGCUCAACUCCAGAACUGCCUUUGAUACUGAGGAUCUUGAGUACGGGAGAGGUGAGUGGAACUGCGAGUGUAGAGGUGAAAUUCGUAGAUAUUCGCAAGAACACCAGUGGCGAAGGCGGCUCACUGGCCCGUUACUGACGCUGAGGCACGAAAGCGUGGGGAGCAAACAGG